GACUGAGGCACGAGAAUUGCUUGAAGCUGGGAGGUAGAAGUUACGGUGAGCUGAAAUAUAUAUGUGUAUAUCUAGAUGUGAUUACCCAGGUACAAGACAGUACAAAUAAAACAGAAACAAGUAGAUUCAACUAAAAUAAGACUAUGUCAAAGAAUGUAACAAUCAAAUGUUCAGAGGUAGAGGAAAAUUUAAACAGCCCUAAAAACUGCAACAAAACAAAAAAAUUAUAAAGGAGCUCUGAUACAUCUGGUAGUGAAGAGUUUAAAAUCUAGGAGUAUGAUGGCAUAUUUAUUGUUGAAGGAAAUAACCUGCCAAAUUAGAAUAUCAAAUCCAGCAAAAUAUUCUUCAAACUUGAAAAAAUGCUUUGCUAGGCACACAACAGGUGAGGAAUUUUUGUCAACAUCAGACCUGUCUUAACAUGAAAUGCUGAAAAUGUAAUUCAAUCUGAAAAGGACAUUAAUGAGCAAAAGGAAAACGUCUGAAUGUUUACAACUCAUAGAAAAAGGUACACAGACAAAUAUAGAAUCCUUUAAUGGUGUAAGAAAGAAGAGGAAGAAAUAGUCACUCAUAUUAGAAAGGGAGAAUUAUAAAUAACCCAAUAGAUACAAAUAAAAUUAAAUAUAUGGGAAGAAACUUAACCAAUAAAGUAAAAUGUAUGUACAAGGAAAACUAUGAGUCAUUGAUAGAAAAUGAAUAGGACACUAGUAAAUCAAAAUAUACUGCAUGUUCAUUUAGUAGGAGAAGAUGUAUUGUUAAAAGCCCAUACUAUGUAUAGCAAUGUAUAGUUUGAAAAUGACAGUGUGUUUUUUUCACAGAAAUAGGAACAAGACAAAGAACAGACAGUAAUCCUGAGCCAAAAGAACAAAGCUGGAAUUAUCAGAUUACCUGACUUAAAGUUAUAUGACAAUAUAACGUUAACCAAAUCUGAUGUGACUUGCAUACAUACACAUACACAGCAAUGUAACAUCUACAAACCAGAAAUCCAUGUAUUGAAACUAAACUUGGCUUAUCAGAGAGCUCCAACAGAUCAGGCUCCAUAGGCUUACCUGCUGCCAGCACAAAUCUAUUUAUAGGUGUUAGUAAUCCCGCCCCUACAGGGCCACCACCACUGUGCAUGAACAAUGGUAACCUUACCCUUUGUGUGUUGUUACUGAUGCAAAUGAGCACCAGCAACUCCACCCUUGCCAUUCUUCCCCAAGUGCAAAUGUGCAGAUGGGUGGCAACCAACUAGCCUCCUCCAGGGCUUUGUAUCUGUUGCAGCCACUGGCAUGAGUUCUAACAUGAACAAUGCUAGACCCUCCUCUUCCAGUGCCCCUCCCCAUCUGACACAUGUGCACACUUCCAUGCUGUUGAAACUGUUGGCAUAAGCAAGUGAGCAUGGAUUCCACUGCCACCAGCCCAAUGAUAUACUAUGGCUGCCACCCUUCUAUUUGAAUACUGUGGGCAUUAUAACAGGAAUACAUCAGCCCCUCCAGUUCAGUAGGUUUCUAACCUUGAGCGACCAGAGAACAGACUAGUUUCUUGACCCUGCUUUCCCAGAGGUAGAACAUGCAGCCCAGGAAUCCUGAGGUCAGCCUUGUUCCCCUAAAAUCAUCCAGAAAUAAAGCCAUUCAGCUGAACCAACUUCACCCCUCAAACCCCAAGGGCAUUGAAGUUGAAAGAAAAAUGUCAUACAAAGCACAGCAUCUUCAAAUAUUGAAAGAAUAUUAGCCCACAUACAUAAGAAGAAAGUACUUCCAGAACUCUGGCAGUUGUAAAAUCCAGAGUUCCAAACUCUGGCUUCCAAAGGGCCACACUAGCUCUCUGGCAGAUGUUCUUAACCAGGCUGAGAUGGGUUAAAUGACAGGGUUAAGAAUAUGGGUAUGAAUGAAGACUAUUGAGAUUCAGAAGAAAGGUGAAACUGAAUCUAAAGAAUCUAAGGAAAAUAAUAGAACAAUACAGAUGUUAGAAACUGAAAUGCCCAUUUCAACAAAGAGGCAAAUUGACCUUGUAGAGCUGAAAAGCACACUACAUAAUUAUGUAAUAUAAUUGGGAGUAUCGGCAGAGUAGAUGAAGCUGAGGAGAGUCUCAGAGCUCCAAGAUUGUUUAGUUGAAUUAGUUGUCAAAUAUUUUAAAAAGAAUUUAAAAACUGAACAAAAUCUCUGUGCAAUACGGCAUUUAAACCUAUGAGUCACUGACAUUCCCAAAAAAAAGGCAGAGAAAACAAGCAACUUUUUAGUUUAUUGUCUGUGAAUUUUUCUGCAACCUUGCUAGACAUACCAAAAUUUAAAUUCAGGAAAUUCUGACAGCCCUGUAAAAUACUGUCUCUCAGGCAGCUAUCAGAUUGAAAUGAAAGAAAAUGUCCAAAUCAACUAUAGAGAAGGGCUGGGUAAACUACAAAGGGAAGCCCAUCAGGCUGACAGCAUACCUUUCAGUAGGUUCCCUGUAUGCCAGAAGAUAUGGAUACCUAUAUUCAGUGUUUUUAAUAAGAAGUAAUUCCAACCAGUAAUUUCAUAUUCAGCCAAAUUAAGCUUUAUAGGUGAAAGGGAAAUAAGAUCUUUUACAGGCAAGCAAGUGCCAAGGCAUUUCAUUACCACCAGACCUGCCUUACCAGACAUCCUUAAGUGAGUGCUCAAUAUGGAAAGGAAUGACCAUUACUGGCCACCAAAAAACACAUUUAAGUACACAGACCACUGACACUAUAAACCAAAUGCACAAUUAACUCAACAGAAUAAUCAGCAACCAGCUAAUAGUAAUACAGAAUUAAAUAUGCACAUAACAGUGUUAAGCUUGAACUUAAGUAGGUUACUGUCCUAAUAAAUUGUGAAGAGAGGCAAGUUGGAUAAAGAAGACCCAACUCUAUACACUGUCUUCCUGAAACCAAUUUCAGAAGUAAUGGCACCCAUUUAUUCAAGGUAAAGAGAUGGAGAAAAUUCUACCAAGCAAACAGAAAAAAGGAAGAGAGACAGAUUGCUAUUCUAAUUUCAUAGAAAAUAGACUUUAAAACAGCAAUUAUCAAUAAUAACAAAGGUAUUUUAUAAUCAUAAAGGCUUCAACUCAACAAGAGCUAACUAUUCAAAAUAUAUAUGCACUGAACACAGGAUUAUGCGCAUUUGUAAAAGAAGUUCCUACAGACCUAUGAAGAAACGUAGAUAAGCAGACAAAUGCGAAACUUGACCACCCCAUUGACUCUAUUAAUCAGGUCACUGAGCCUGAAGUCUAACUUAUUUUGGUUCUGUACUUGACACUUGACCAAAUGGACCUAUCAGACAUCCGUAUUAAUCUCCACCCAAAACCACAGAGUGUACAUUCUUCUCAUCUGCACAUGGCACAUACUCUACAGUCGACCACACAGUGGAUCAUAAAACAGUCCUCACCAAAUUCAAAUAGCAAAAUCAUACUAAACAGAUCUUUGGACCAGAACACAAUAAAAACAGAAAUCAACACACAAAAAAAAGAUUACCUAAAACUAUACAAUUACAUGGAAAUUAAACAACUUGAUCCUUAAUUAUAUUGGUAUAAAUAAUGAAAAGGCAGAAAUUAACAAGUUCAGUAUCUCAAUUUAACAUGCUAGCAUCACAACCAGAGGAACUAAAAAACAAACUAAUUCCAAAGCUAGCAGCAGGUAAGAAAUAACUAAGAUAACCAAUUUUUAAAUUGAUUCAGUAAUAAAAACUAU